UUUUCGAGGUGGGAGUCUACUGAGGUGAGGUAUGGUGCUGGGUGCAGAUGCAAUGUGGCUCUGGAUAGCACCUUAUGGACAGUUGUGUCCCAAAGGAAGGAUGAGAAUAGCUACUGAAGUAAGUUGAAAAUCUUUAAAUCUCAAAAAGAUUUAAAGCCAUUGGAUGUGCCACAAUGAUGACAGUUUAUUUGCUACUCUUGAGUGCUAGAAUGAUGAGGAUCUUAACCACCAUUAUCUUAACUGAGGCACCCAAAAUGGUGAUUUGGGGAACAGAGAGAGUACACCUAAGUUCACACGAAGUUGUUUCUUCCCAGGUCCUAAAGAGCAAGCCUAACUCAAGCCAUUGGCACACCGGCAUUAGACAGAAAACUGGAAGUUGAAAUGGUGGAGUCCAACUUGUCUGGACCAGCUUAAUGGUUCUGCUCCUGGUAACGUUUUUAUCCACGGAUGGCUUGCUUGGGUAAGGACGUGAAGACAGUUCCUGUCAUACCUUUUUUAAAGGUACAUAUUUUGUUGAUGUUAAUGUGAAUUGAUUGAGCUACUGUUAGUGAUGAUUUUAAAAUUAAAACAGAUGGGAAUCUCUCUGAGAAAGAAAAUGGAGAUUAAUCUUAAACUGAAACAGUAGUUGGGAAAUCUUUUAGAAAUCCACCUAUUACUAUCUAUUGGUAAAGGAGAUUAUAAAUUUCUGCAGGUAUGGAGAGUCGGCUUGACUACACUGUGUGGAGCAAGUUUUAAAGAAGCAAAGGUAUAGCAGUCCCAAGUUUUUUUUUUUUUUUUUUUUUUUGAGACAAGAGCCUAGCUCUUACGCAGAA
rnacentral:sRNA from 1 species